rnacentral:rRNA from 1 species
AGCAGCCGCGGUAAUUCCAGCUCCAAUAGCGUAUAUUAAAGUUGUUGCAGUUAAAAAGCUCGUAGUUGAAUUUCGGGAUCAAUAUAUCGGUCGUGCCUUGGUACGUACUGGUAUCAUUGGUUUCUCCUUUCUGACGAACCAUGAUGUCAUUAAUUUGGUGUUAUGGGAAGUUAGGACUGUUACUUUGAAAAAAUUAGAGUGUUUAAAGCAGGCUUUAGCUUGAAUACAUUAGCAUGGAAUAAUGAAAUAGGACGUUCGAACCUAUUUUGUUGGUUUCUAGGAUCAACGUAAUGAUUAAUAGGGAUAGUUGGGGGCAUUAGUAUUCAAUUGUCAGAGGUGAAAUUCUUGGAUUUAUUGAAGACCUAACUACUGCGAAAAGCAAUUUGCCAAAGGAUGUUUUCAUUAAUCAAGAACGAAAGUUAGGGGAUCGAAGCGAUCAGAUACCGUCGUAGUCUUAACCAUAACUAAUGCCGACUAGGGAUCGGGAUGAUGUUAAUUUUUANCGUACUCAUUCGGCGCC